GCCCUUGUAGCUCAAUUGGAUAGAGCAGGGUCCUCCUAAGGCCAAGAUGGAGGUUCGAAUCCUCCCAAGGGCA
rnacentral:tRNA from 1 species